rnacentral:lncRNA from 1 species
AAGAAUUGCAAGGAUUAGCUUAGGAAGGUCGAGGAGAGAGAGGGGUUGAGUAAUGUUUGUUUUUGUUGGUAGUUGAAUUGGGGUGGUUGUAGGCGGCGGAUUUGCAGAAGGUGGUGUUGCGGCGUUGGAAGUGUCGGAUGGAAGGACAUGUGUCGGAGGUGAGGAAAAAAUCCUACUUCGUUGAAGGUGAACGAAGUGC